UACGGAGGGGGCUAGCGUUGUUCGGAAUUACUGGGCGUAAAGCGCGCGUAGGCGGCUUUGUAAGUUAGAGGUGAAAGCCCGGAGCUCAACUCCGGAAUUGCCUUUAAGACUGCAUCGCUAGAAUCAUGGAGAGGUGAGUGGAAUUUACGGUGUAGCAGUGAAAUGCGUAGAUAUCGUAAGGAAGACCAGUGGCGAAGGCGAAUCUCUGGACAGUUACUGACACUGAGGCACGAAGGCCAGGGGAGCAAACAGG
rnacentral:rRNA from 1 species